AUUGGACGCUGGCGGCAUGCUUUACACAUGCAAGUCGAACGGUAACAGGCCGCAAGGUGCUGACGAGUGGCGAACGGGUGAGUAAUGCAUCGGAACGUGCCCAGUCGUGGGGGAUAACUACUCGAAAGAGUAGCUAAUACCGCAUACGAUCUAUGGAUGAAAGCGGGGGACCGUAAGGCCUCGCGCGAUUGGAGCGGCCGAUGUUAGAUUAGGUAGUUGGUGGGGUAAAGGCUCACCAAGCCAACGAUCUGUAGCUGGUCUGAGAGGACGACCAGCCACACUGGGACUGAGCCACGGCCCAGACUCCUACGGGAGGCAGCAGUGGGGAAUUUUGGACAAUGGGCGCAAGCCUAAUCCAGCAAUGCCGCGUGCAGGAAGAAGGCCUUCGGGUUGUAAACUGCUUUUGUACGGAACGAAACGGCUCUGGUUAAUACCCGGGGCUAAUGACGGUACCGUAAGAAUAAGCACCGGCUAACUACGUG
rnacentral:rRNA from 1 species